CUUAUAAGAGGCGACACUGCAAGCCCUUGCAACAAUCUUCUCCUGCAGCCUGCUCGGUCUACCACACCAAAGGUCUACUCUGCAAGCCGAAAACAUGAAGCUGUUUCUCACCGCCCUCCUGAUCGCCGUGGCAUGCAUGGCAUACGCCGCUGCCUUCCCCAUGCCUGAGGCUGAGCCACAUCGUUUUGGAGGAUACGGUGGAUACGGUGGCUACGGAGGAUAUGGAGGAUACGGAGGAGGAUUUGGAGGUUUCGGAGGAGGUUUUGGAGGCUUCGGAGGCGGCCGCUACGGUUACUACGGAUAAAUGCGCGGAACUCAUACAUGAAUGAUCGAUGUGAUAUUCAAUGGCAUUUUAGAUUUAGGAUUUUCAUUCCUGAAUUAGAUGAAAUAAGUGUAUGUUGCAUUGUACUCACUUGACUCUGAGCCGUCCUUAAUUCUCUGGCUUAAAAAACCAUUAGAAACUUCUCAGUUUUAUUCACCAUAAUUUGAGAUAAUAAAUUUUUAGCAUGAGCCCAAGUGUUCGACAGAAUGCGAAGGUUUCAAUUUAUCAUUGUAACUGAAUUAUUCGAGCUAAAGUUCCCUUCAGUAAGAGUCCUCCAUUUAGUUGUACCCGCUUGUAAUGUUUCUUUUCAUUCGAAUAAACCUUGGAAUACAAUG
rnacentral:lncRNA from 1 species